AGGAAAUAGAUACCCCGGUAGUCCACGCCCUAAACGAUGUCGACUGGUUGUUGGGGGUUUGACACUCUCAGUAAACGAAAGCUAAACGCGUGAAAGUCGACCGCCUGGGGAGUACGGCCGCAAGGUUAAAACUCAAAGGAAUUGACGGGGACCCGCACAAGCGGUGGAUUAUGUGGAUUAAUUCGAUGCAACGCGAAAAACCUUACCUACCUUGACAUGUCCGGGAGCCUGCUGAGAGGCGGGUGUGCUCGAAAGAGAACCGGAACACAGGUGCUGCAUGGCUGUCGUCAGCUCGUGUCGUGAGAUGUUGGGUUAAGUCCCGCAACGAGCGCAACCCUUGCCAUUAGUUGCCACCCGUAAGGGGGCACUCUAAUGGGACUGCCGGUGACAAACCGGAGGAAGGUGGGGAUGACGUCAAGUCCUCAUGGCCCUUAUGGGUAGGGCUUCACACGUAAUACAAUGGCGCGUACAGAGGGUUGCCAAGGAGCGAUCUGGAGCCAAUCCCGUAAAGCGCGUCGUAGUCCGGAUUGCAGUCUGCAACUCGACUGC
rnacentral:rRNA from 1 species